rnacentral:rRNA from 1 species
GAUGAACGCUGGCGGCGUGCUUAACACAUGCAAGUCGAACGAAGAUAUUAAAAAUGAGAGCUUCGGCAGGAAUUUUUUCUUAUCUUAGUGGCGGACGGGUGAGUAACGUGUGGGCAACCUGCCCUGCACUGGGGAAUAAUCAUUGGAAACGAUGACUAAUACCGCAUACGGUUCCUGGGAGGCAUCUUCCGGGAAAGAAAGGAUUUAUUCGGUGCAGGAUGGGCCCGCAUCUGAUUAGCUAGUUGGUGAGAUAACAGCCCACCAAGGCGACGAUCAGUAGCCGACCUGAGAGGGUGACCGGCCACAUUGGGACUGAGACACGGCCCAA